rnacentral:rRNA from 1 species
GACGAACCGUGCGAACGUUGUUCGGAAUCACUGGGCUUAAAGGGCGCGUAGGCGGCUUACCAAGUCCGGGGUGAAAGCUUUCGGCUUAACCGGAAAAGUGCCUUGGAUACUGGUAGGCUUGAGGGAGGUAGGGGCAUGCGGAACUUCCGGUGGAGCGGUGAAAUGCGUUGAUAUCGGAAGGAACGCCGGUGGCGAAAGCGGCGUGCUGGACCUCUUCUGACGCUGAGGCGCGAAAGCUAGGGGAGCGAACGGG